UCCCUGCUUUUCCUCCCUGAGCAGGUGCCUUAGCGUGAUGACAGCGAUAAGGCUUACCCGCCCCGGUCCUUGGAUCGGGGCUUUUUUUU
rnacentral:ncRNA from 1 species